rnacentral:rRNA from 1 species
CGGACGGUGGGUAAUGUCUGGGAAACUGCCUGAUGAGGGGAUAACUACUGGAAACGGUAGCUAAUACCGCAUAACGUCGCAAGACCAAAGAGGGGGACCUUAGGGCCUCUUGCCAUCGGAUGUGCCCAGAUGGGAUUAGCUAGUAGGUGGGGUAACGGCUCACCUAGGCGACGAUCCCUAGCUGGUCUGAGAGGAUGACCAGCCACACUGGAACUGAGACACGGUCCAG